rnacentral:rRNA from 1 species
CAGUAGCCGCGGUAAUACGAAGGGGGCUAGCGUUGUUCGGAAUUACUGGGCGUAAAGGGCGCGUAGGCGGCCAUUCAAGUUAGAUGUGAAAGCCCUGGGCUCAACCUAGGAAUUGCAUUUGAUACUGUUGGCUUGAGUCCGGGAGAGGUGAGUGGAAUUCCCAGUGUAGAGGUGAAAUUCGUAGAUAUUGGGAAGAACACCAGUGGCGAAGGCGGCUCACUGGACCGACACUGACGCUGAGGCGCGAAAGCGUGGGGAGCAAACAGGAUUAGAUACCCCCGUAGUCCCUGUCUCUUAUACA